GUUUUGCUCUAAUUGGACUUCCAACACUAACGAAACUUGGGGUCGCAGAUACGUCAUGUUAUCUUAAUAGGGAUUUUCAAGAAACUGAAUACCACCAUUGCCACCGCCUUACCUAGGGGGCAGAGUUAAUUGGUGUCAUUUGAAUUGGAUUUCCAACAUCGCCGAAACGCUGGGUCGCAGAUACAUCAUCUUAAUAGGAUUUCCAACAGAGCCAAAACGCGGGGUCGCAGAUACAUCAUCUUAUCUUAAUAGGGAUUUUCAAGAACCUGAAUACGACCAUUGCCACAGCCGUACCUAGGGGGCAGAGUUAAUUGGUGUCAUUUGAAUUGGAUUUUCGAUGUCUGUCCACCGCCGUCGGUUUCAUUUCUCUUUAAUUGGACUUCCAACUUGGGGUCGCAGAUACAUCAUUUAAUGUUAAUAGGGAUUUUCAACAACCUGAAUACCACCAUUGCCACAGCCAUACCUAGGGGGCAGAGUUAAUUGAUGUC